UACGUAGGUGGCAAGCGUUGUCCGGAUUUACUGGGCGUAAAGAGCGCGCAGGCGGUCGAUUUAGUCGCGUGUGAAAGCCCCCGGCUCAACUGGGGAGGGUCACGCGAUACUGAUCGACUCGAAGGCAGGAGAGGGUAGUGGAAUUUCCGGUGUAGCGGUGAAAUGCGUAGAGAUCGGAAGGAACACCAGUGGCGAAGGCGGCUACCUGGACAGAUACUGACGCUGAGGCGCGAGAGCGUGGGGAGCAAACAGG
rnacentral:rRNA from 1 species